AAUAAUUUCAUCUCCAACCGCAGAAACAAAAACCUCACUGGCUAAAGAGCAUAAGAUCCAAGUUGCCGCCAAGAAACAAAAAACAAGUAGAUAUGGAAGCUAUACUUGUAAACUACGAUUGGAUAGCUCAAUGAGGAACUGCUGCCCUUUAGCUUAAGUUUUCUGCUAAGGAAAAGAAGACCUUUUAUACAAAUGAGAUUCACGACUUUCAUCAACUUUUCAAACACACGUUUAUUAACUUUUAUUAAAAUCUACAAAAAUCUUAUAUUUAACAAAAUCAAAUAGGGCUAAAUUGUUGUUUAAAUAAUUGGAUUACGUGAAGUAGCACAGUAUAUUUUAACCCUUGGAUACUUGAUCAAUUUUUCUUGUAAGAAUCUUUCAUAUCAAGUAACAGGCUCCCUAACGUGGAAAAUAAUAGCAAAUCAUUUUCCAUAAAAUAACUGAUCGAACAUAAUAUUCUUCUUAAUUACGAAGUUGUAGAACACUAACCAUAAAUGUUGAUGAACUAGUAACUCGACGUGAGUAUUCAUUUAAAGUUGGCCUCAAUGUUCUGGUCAUGUGGAUCUGGCAUCCAGCUAGCGUCCAGCAUCGAACGUCACACUCACUCAGAGUCCACCAGUGUUGCUCGAGAUUCAUCAAUGUCAGCUUUUUCUGUCUUCAAUCAAUGUUGACAAGAUUGAUUUUUGAAUGUAGAUCAACCGCAAAUUUCAUUUAUUUGAUCAUCACUUCUCCAUUAUCAAUCGACCCCUCGUAAACACUUGGUCCAAUUCUUGUAUCUACACUGAAAUUUUUUGUUGCCUAUUUGAUCUCUUCCACGCUGUAAUUGCACAAAGAAUAAUUUAUCCCGACAAGGAGAUCAGGAGACAAACAUGAAUUCACGGAGCCUCUAGUUGGAGGUCCAGAUAAACGGGAGCUUCUCGGGGUCGAGUAUGAAUUCAACGAGCUUCGACGCAUUGAAGAACGAAACUUAUCAGCUUUGAAUUUAUACAAGGCUUUGACAUAUAAACUACAGGAAACUAAUUUAGCAAGAAUCAGGAAAAACCCAACUACUGAUACCGAGAUUCGGAGUUUCUUUAGCUGUAUACUUUUUGCUCGUUUCUCUACAGGAAUUGUGGGAAGAAAACCCGGAAUGGGAGGUUCAGAAUCUGGAAUGUUGAGAUUGAUGAAUGGUUUUGCUUUCAGUGAUACUUGUGUUGGGGUAAACAGUAGUUAUAAGAUCUAAAUUUUUAGCUUUCCAUAUUUCCUCAACUGAGUUCUCAAUUUUAUGUAUCGUCCUCUUCAAUAAAGGGUAUGUGACAAAGUACAUAACCCCUGAAUUCCUAGAGAUUUUAUCUGGACAAGCACCUUCAUAGGUACACAAUAUUAAUGGUUG
rnacentral:lncRNA from 1 species